rnacentral:rRNA from 1 species
UACAGAGGGUGCAAGCGUUAAUCGGAAUUACUGGGCGUAAAGCGUGCGUAGACGGUAGCGUAAGUCGGGUGUGAAAGCCCCGGGCUCAACCUGGGAAUUGCAUUCGAGACUGCUCUGCUAGGGUGCGGAAGAGGGGAGCGGAAUUUCCGGUGUAGCGGUGAAAUGCGUAGAUAUCAGGAGGAACACCUGUGGCGAAAGCGGCUCACUGGACCAUAACUGACGCUGAUGCACGAAAGCUAGGGGAGCAAACAGG